CUUUCAAUUCUUUCUGUGUUGUUAC
rnacentral:other from 18 species